rnacentral:rRNA from 1 species
AAAAACAUUUCUUCCUAGAUUAGGAGGUAAGGCCUGCUCACUGAAAAUUUAAAGAGCCGCAGUAUCCUAACUGUGCUAAGGUAGCAUAAUCAUUAGUCUUUUAAUUGAAGACUGGUAUGAAUGGCUUAACGAGAGAUUGACUUUUUUUAUUAUACAAAUUUAAUUUAAUUUUUUAGUGAAAAAGCUAAAAUUUUUCAGAAAGACGAGAAGACCCUAUAGAGUUUUAUGUUUUUUUAUAUUUUUUAUUAUUAGAUUUUUAAAGAAUUAGUAUAAUUAAACAUUUUGUUGGGGCGACAUUAAGAUAAAAAAAACUCUUAUUUUUUAAAAUUUUUUUAAAAAUGUAAAUUGAUCCUUUAAAAAAGAUUAUAAGAAAAAAUUACCUUAGGGAUAACAGCGUAAUCUUUUUUGAGAGUUCUAAUCGACAAAAAGGUUUGCGACCUCGAUGUUGGACUAAAAUUUAGACAAGGUGCAGCCGCUUUGUUUUUAGGUCUGUUCGACCUAUAAAA